GAGAGAGGAGUGAGAAAAGGAGAAUGAGAGGAGGAGCCAAGAGCCAGCCACACAGCCACAGCCUCACAACCAACCCUGGAAGGCUCAUGGAUGAUAUCGCCUUCAGUGUUAAGGAAGACUUUGGACUUGGAUUUUUCAGCAAUACUUGAACAGGAUGGAUUUUCAUGGAUACAAGACAUGGCUUCAGCAGUGAUUCCAAUAGAAAUCUAAUGCAAGUUGUUUUUGGCACGUUGAUAGCCUUUAAACACAGAAUCCCAUCAGUUCUCAGAGAAGACCAAGAGCUUACAGUGCUGGCCUUAUGUCUCUCCUUGUCUUAGUCUCAGAAGAAAGCUCAGUGAAAAUCAAAAUAUGAGAAUUGUACUGUAUGUUCCACACUAACUUCAGAAAUAUAAAUAAAAUUGUGUAAAAGGGAAUA